AUCUUGUGAUGAAGGGUAUCUAUGGAUGAAGCCGACUUUGCAUGAAAAUUUCAACUUUGUUGGACGCGGAAACAAAUUUUCAGAUUUUGAGAUUUUUAAAACCAAUUUUAAAAGGGUUUCGAUAAAUGUAAAAGGAUAUAAUAAAUCCUACAACUAUAAUAAUAUAUUAUUACCAACAGAAUCGCGAAAUCCUCCUGCAUCCACAAGUAAACCAAUCAAGACCCCUUCUAAAACUCAUUCCCCGCCAAUCAACGACAUCAGAGACUCCACGUUCCAGAAUGCGACUCCAGCAAUAACCGCACCUCGUGUCAAUCGAUUUAGGCCAUAAAGAAAACGAUCCGUUCCGUUCCGUGUGUCCCACCGUCCACACCAUAAACCGCACAAACCCACAUUUGCCUUUGCGGCUGUGCGCCAAAAGGUAAUUGGCCGUAAAAAUGGUCCCAUUCGCGCCGGUUCUCUUCCGUCAUGAAGUUCGCUUUUCGUGUCAACAACAACGCCACGGCCAAGAUAUCUUGUCAUCAACCAGGUGGAUAAGAGGACGCGUUAUUCGGGUCAUACGGCUGCCGAUCGGAAACGAUCACUUUCUCCUGUACAUUCAAUCGUUGUAAAACCGUUCCAAAACUACGUCAGUAAGGCCAAAUUCUGGGAGGCGGAAAUUUUGAAGGUGCCUUUAAAAAACAAGCUAUAACAUCAGUUAUUAGGCCUGUUUUCAUUUGCAUACUGGUUUUUUGUUGUGCGUGUUUUCGAUGCUCUGAUAAACCUCUUUUCUGCCGGGCAUCUUAUUAUGUUGUGCGCUGCGCCUUCUCUCUCUUCAUCCACCGCUGACAGGGAGCGCAUCAUACCUUUAAAUCUCCUUCUCUCUCUCUCUCUCUCUCUCUCUCUCUCUCUCUCUCUCUCUCUCUCUCUCUCUCUUCUCAACACAAACACACGCAGAAACAUGGUGCUGAUGGAACACACGAAUCUUGCCGCUCAAGAAGUACCAUCACCAUUUCGCGCUUUCGCAGAUCACCUCAGUAGCAUUUCGGCUGGCGGGUUCGUCGCCACGGCGGUUCUGCACGAUCGGGCACAGCAAUCGGCACGCGGAAACGCUCUACUCGUGGAGAGGCAAACACACGCGUCACAACAAAACAGCAACAGCACCGUUUUGCACUGCGACGGGAUCGGAAGUUUAUACCGAAUAAGGCACAAGUGGGCUGAGAAAAGCGGCAAGCCAAAAAACAAUCAAUGAACAGUAUGAUAAACUUCAACAAGUGUGUGAAUUGUGUGUUAAAAGUGUCCGUAGCAAAAGGAAGGAAAAAAGCAUUCCUAAUUUGUCGUGAUGGUCUAAUGGACGUGAAAGCACAUUGAAACAGUACCGACAGAGCAAUGCAUUUCAAGUACGGCUUGCUGUGAGCAAUGCGUCUAGAAUGUGUUAAAUAUUAUUUAUUUCACUACUCUCUCUCUCUCUCUAAAAAUGAGACUAACCUGCUCCCCCGCCAAUGCUGCAAUGAAGCUAACCAGAAGAGGAUAAAUGCAAACAAAAUUCAAGGAUAAAUGGAACCCAAUAUCGAAUGUCGAUUUAGUGGCAGCAGUAACAGCAACAGGUGCAAGAUGAAUGCUGCAUCCGCCUGAAAAGCAGUAUUUAAAAAUAAAAACCACAUGCGUUGGUGAAUUUAACAUGUGAUGUGUUGGACAUUGAACAGUAAGAUGCAUCGUAUUUCAAUAAAAAAGCGAUAAGAUAACAUUAAUAA